AGGAUCCGAACGAAUGGCCGGUGGUCGAACCGUUGCCAUCCUACGGUCAUGGAAGGGACACAUCAGGGGGACGGUACAUCAGUUUAAUAUUUGGAACAAAUCUCACUGAUGUUGUCAUCACAGGAAACAAUGGCACCAUUGAUGGUCAAGGCGAUCGCUGGUGGCAGCUGUUUCAUCAGAAUAAGCUUAAGUACACCCGACCAUACUUGAUUGAGAUCAUGUAUUCCAGCGACGUACAGAUAUCGAAUCUGACCCUGCUGAAUUCUCCAGCUUGGAAUGUUCAUCCUGUUUACAGCAGGUAUAAUCAAUUAGUUAUUCCAUAGAGAAAUAUGUACAGAAAU